rnacentral:ncRNA from 1 species
GCUAGGAAUUGUGGUGAUUUGGCCGGCCGGCUUGCAGCCACGUAAAACAAUUUGCUAAAAAGGCCGAUGGAUACAUGAA